CCUACGGGAGGCAGCAGUGAGGAAUAUUGGUCAAUGGCCGAGAGGCUGAACCAGCCAAGUCGCGUGAGGGAAGACGGCCCUACGGGUUGUAAACCUCUUUUGUCGGGGAGCAAAGCGAGUCACGUGUGACCAAUUGAGAGUAACCGAAGAAAAAGCAUCGGCUAACUCCGUGCCAGCAGCCGCGGUAAUACCGAGGAUGCGAGCGUUAUCCGGUUUUAUUGGGUUUAAAGGGUGCGCAGGCGGAGGUGCAAGUCAGCGGGAAAAUUGCGGGGCUCAACCCCGUACUGCCGUUGAAACUGCAUCCCUUGAGUGCGCGAGAAGUAUGCGGAAUGCGUGGUGUAGCGGUGAAAUGCAUAGAUAUCACGCAGAACUCCGAUUGCGAAGGCAGCAUACCGGCGCGCAACUGACGCUCAUGCACGAAAGCGUGGGUAUCGAACAGGAUUAGAUACCCCGGUAGUC
rnacentral:rRNA from 1 species